UAUCAAUGCUGGAUACUAUGUAUUUAGUAAUUGGAAUGAGUACAAUUUAAAUCCCUUAACAAGUAACAAUUAGAGGGCAAGUCUGGUGCCAGCAGCCGCGGUAAUUCCAGCUCUAAUAGCGUAUAUUAAUAUUGUUGCAGUUAAAAAGCUCGUAGUUGAAAUUUGGGACUUUUAUUAUAUUGGUUUGUCUUUUGAUGAACUGUAUGAUGGGUUUCUUCCUACUAGAGUUCGAUUCUGUUCUUAACUGAAUGGAGUAGCUAUCUUUCGGGGUGGUCAAUUGGUUGUUAUAUCUCCACUAAUGAGCAGAGAGGGGUUAAACCUUCAAAGUGAGUUAUGUGGAUCAAGGUAUAAUGAUUAAUUGGAGUUCUAGUUCAUUUACUUUGAGAAAAUUAGAGUGUUUAAAGCAGCCUCUUGGGGCACUGAAUACAUUAGCAUGGGAUAAUAAAAUAGGAUCUUCACAAUAUAUUUUAUUGGUUUAAAUUGGAUAUGAAGAUAAUGAUUAAUAGGGACAGUUGGGG
rnacentral:rRNA from 1 species